AUUGAACGCUGGCGGCAGGCUUAACACAUGCAAGUCGAACGAGCGGCGGACGGGUGAGUAAUGUAUGGGGACUGCCCGAUAGAGGGGGAUAACUACUGGAAACGGUGGCUAAUCCCGCAUACUAUCGGAUAACCCAUAUGGGAUUAGCUAGUGGGUGGGGUAAAGGCUCACCUAGGGGACGAUCCCUAGCUGGUGUGCGAGGAUGAUCAGCCAACCUGGGACUGAGACACGGCCCAGACUCCUACGGAGGCAGCAGUGGGGAAUUUUGCACAAUGGGCGCAAGCCUGAUGCAGCCAUGCCGCGUGUAUGAAGAAGGCCUUAGGGUUGUAAAGUACUUUCAGCGGGGAGGCGUUACCCGCAGAAGAAGCACCGGCUAACUCCGUGCCAGCAGCCGCGGUAAUAC
rnacentral:rRNA from 1 species